AAAGGGUUUACAGUAUCACAGAUGAGUUAAAAGCAGGCUAUUUAUAGUGAGUACACUUCAAGGGCACAUAUAUUUAGGAGUGUGGAGCAAAGAAGAAUGCAAAGCCUGAUUGGGGUUGGGGGUGUGAUCAGGGAAAGUGGCCAAAAGCCUUUCGUGGAGAGACAGGAUCUGAGGAAGGGAAGGAGUUCAUUAUUAUUCUCUGAAGUCAUCAGGGAGCACCAAGAGGGUGGGAUUUCAGGAAGUAUUUAAAUGAAAGGAGACACAUGGCUUGGCACAGUGAGAGGGAGGUUUUCCAGGCUUCCUGUGCUGUCUUGGGGACCUGCUCAGAGGCUGGACCGCGUCAUGCUCAGAAGGCCCUGUUUUCUUUAGACGCUGACUCCUGCUGUCUACCAGAUCCUCGUGGUACAAUGACUGGUGUAGACUGGCUUGUUGAAGUCACUCUCUGGAUCUGAGCAACGCUGGCUGAGCCGUGAUGAAGUAUUCCUAUCCAUCCACUAUGCUUCACAGUGGGAAUCUCUCACUGUUCAUCACCGCUGCCCUAGCAGCCGCAGGGAUUCUUCACCCAUGGUUGCUUAGGUUUAUAAGCAAGGAAGCUGAAUGAAGUCCCUUUCCUCUCUGGAUGAGCCCCUGGGUUUCUGGAAGAGUCUUAAAAUCACCCCUAAAUGGCUUCCAAGCACUGAAGCCCGAGAUGUUAGCUGGCCUGUGUGAGGCCUUGAGACAGAAUGCCACAGCCACACCCCAAGGAUGCUGAAGGGGAUUUCCCUCCUCUGUGGUUUUUCUCCUUUCUUCCCGCAGCACUCCUCCUACGUGCUAACAUCUUCUAGUCAAACAACUCUCCUUUUCAAAGGGACCAGGCACAGUUUCUGCUUAUCCCUGAGUAGCAGUGUUCAGUUUCCUGCCAGCCUGUGGAGUUUUUCAAACAAGCCAAUCACCUCCUCCUGUGGGAACUGAGAAGCACCCCACCCUCUCGAUACUACAAAGCCCCUGCUUGUUCCCUAGUGCAACUCCCAUGUGGUCCUGUGGAGCAUAUGGUAUCUUCCUCUUCUGGGCAGUGAGCAUAUGUGACUAAUAAACUAUCUAUCUCAUCUGUUCAGUGCCAGGUGUCAUUUGUUCUGCCAUCCCAUGACCUAGGGUGGGGAUUCCUUCCACACCAACAGGGUGAAUGCAAGGUGAUUAAAACAAGAAGCCUCUUCAGGAUCUAUAUCCUAGGGAAAAAAUUAAACAACAACAACAAAACAAGAAGCUUCAACUCUGACCCUGUAUUCCAGAUGUGUUACAGGGGCCUGUCUCCCCAGAGCCACUCUCCAGGUCAGAGCUUACCUCCCCUUGCUCAGGGUUAGGAGCUCUGGGCAGGAAAAGGACAUCAUGUUAAAA
rnacentral:lncRNA from 1 species